GCCGGGCACGGUGGCGCACACCUGUCAUCCCAGCAGCUUGGGAGGCUGAGGCAGGAGGAUCAUGAGUUCAAAGCCAGCCUCAGCAACGGUGAGGCACUAAGCAACUCAGUGAGACCCUGUCUCUA
rnacentral:sRNA from 1 species